GUGUCAGAGUUGCGUGUACUUGCGGGCUACUUCACCGUCACCAGCCCAUCUGUAGUAUUGUAGGGAUGGACAUAUGGAUUGAGUGGUACCCACCUGAAAGAUACACAUCUCAGCAGCCAAGAACUUCAAUAAAAAUGGAAGAGGUAUGAAAUUCUCAACUUAGGAAGGAACAUACAACCUGUAAUGUGUCGAUCACUAACUAAUAAACAGGAGUCUGAUGUUGGAAAGAAGCAACUGGUACCAAAGCAAAAGCAUCACGACUCCCCUUACAAAUCAAUGAAGUGUUCUAAUUCUAAUUCUGGCGAUCUAAGCACCGGUCCAAGCGGCUCUCCCUCGGCUAUGCCUGGAUGUUCGAGCUGUCAGUGUGGUACAGGAGCAGCAGCCACCAUCGUUGUCAAGUAGCUCCA